AUAACACCUAGCUAGCGGGUCACGGGGUUUCUGUGCCUUUGGGCUAACACGUCUUCUGAUACUAACAAAUAAAGAUUAUCUUUUAGAAUCUAACAUUUCAUAGGGGGGACUGAUGUAGAAUUAUUAAAAUCUUUAUUAGAACCUGUAUUGAAUUAUUGUACUAACUCCAUUUUGUUCACCUUACAUGACAGAAUUUCCUGACAGUAUUCAGUAUAAUGAAUAAGAGAUUGUAUUCUCUCUCUAAGGACAUAACUAGCCCCGGAGUUAGCGGAUCUCCGUUGACUUGCAACAUAGUAUAAUCCAAGGCCAGGAGAACAGUGACAAAAUGAAAUGUUCUAUUCAUAAAAGAACCUUGGAACAGACCACGAGACUGACAUCACUAACUACGUAAAAUGACGCCCAAGCCCCCCUUUCCACCGAGUAAGCCUCGUGCUAAAGAGCAAUGGCGACGACAUCCCAUGAUGGGAGGGUGCCUCACUAGUCACUCAAAUCUCUGAGCCAAUUAAUAAUAUUAAUGGGUGGACACUGACAUAGCCACUUAACAU